GCAGGACCUGGAUUAACCUCUACAUCACCAGAGGAACAGAGGAGAAGUAGGAUAAGGAGAGGUUGGAAAAAUUAACACAAGGCCUACAGUUGUUCACAUCGCUACAACAGAUGAUUUGUGUGAUCAGGUAAGAAGGCAGGGUUCCUCUUUAAACUAACUACAACUUAUAAAGGCUUUAUAUAACAUACAUAAAGUAUUUAAGCACUACAUAGAUGAUUCACAAGUCAUCUUAAGCUGUUUUCGACUCUCUCUCUCUCUACCGCACCUGCUGUCUCGAACUCUGAAUGCUCGGCUAUGAAAAGCCAACUGACAUUUACUCCUGAGGUGUUGACCUGUUGCACCCUCUGUAGCACCCUCUACAACCACUGUGAUUAUUAUUAUUUGACCCUGCUGGUCAUCUAUGAACGUUUGAACAUCUUGGCCAUGUACUGUUAUAAUCUCCACCCGGCACAGCCAGAAGAGGACUGGCCACCCCUCACAACCUGGUUCCUCUCUAGGUUUCUUCCUAGGUUCUGGCCUUUCUAGGGAGUUUUUCCUAGCCACCGUGCUUAGGAUCUGCAUUUCUUGCUGUUUGAGGAUUUAGGCUGGGUUUCUGUACAGCACUUUGAGAUAUCAGCUGAUGUAAAAAGGGCUUUAUAAAUCAAUUUGAUUGAUUGAUUGAUUAUGUCAUACUCUAUAAAGGGUGAAAUAACAGCUCACUAUAGGAUCCAUUACCAAACGUGACAUAACAUUUUGUCGAUAAAAUACAACUGUGCUUUAUAAAGGGUGACAUAAUGCAUGAUUACUAAGAUACAAUGCUGUAUGAAACUACUUAUAGAUAGAGCUUUAUAUUGUACUGUAUAUAUAGACAUAACUGUUUAUGUUUACUGGCUAGGUUUUCUCAGUGAGAUCUGUCUGAGCAGUCCAGAGUCUAAAUCAGACAUUAGACUGUAUGGAGCCUGAGGGAGACCCUGAAGUCAUGAGCAGGAGAUGAGUCAGAGAGUGGGGGAGUCUGAGGGAUAAACAUGAUAAGAAGACGUACCAAAAAUAUGUAAUGUAAUGACUUAUUUUAUAUUUGAUUUAAUGUGUAGUGUAAAACAGGAGAGAGCAGAGUCUCUGGCUCCCGGCUGUCUGCCUAAGAACAGUGACACAUCAAUGGGCCAAGACUUUGCUCUACUUUCCGGCUACCCGGAUAAAGCACUAAAUAAACUUCAGUUAGUGCUAAAUACUGACUAGAACCAAAAAAUUUGAUCAUAUUACUUCAGUGCUAGCCUCCCUACACUGGCUUCCUGUUAAGGCAAGGGCUGAUUUCAAGGUUUUACUGCUAACCUACAAAGCAUUACAUGGGCUUGCUCCUACCUAUCUUUCCGAUUUGGUCCUGCCGUACAUACCUACACGUACGCUACGGUCACAAGACGCAGGCCUCCUAAUUGUCCCUAGAAUUUCUAAGCAAACGGCUGGAGGUAGGGCUUUCUCCUAUUGAGCUCCAUUUUUAUGGAAUGGUCUGCCUACCAAUGUGAGAGACGCAGACUCAGUCUCAACCUUUAAGUCUUUACUGAAGACUUAUCUCUUCAGUAGGUCCUAUGAUUAAGUAUAGUCUGGCCCAGGAGUGUGAAGGUGAACGGAAAGGCUGGAGCAACGAACCGCCCUUGCUGUCUCUGCCUUGCCGGUUCCCCUCUUUCCACUGGGAUUCUCUGCCUCUAACCCUUU
rnacentral:lncRNA from 1 species